AAAAGUACUUAAAGAAGAUAAAUAAAGAUAAAAGUGAAAAUAAAAAUAAAAAAUAAAAAAUUCUUUAAACAUCGUCAUCACUAGAUAGUUCGCGAGGUGGUGGUGGCGAUGAGAUGUGAAGGUGCUGACAAAUCUGAUGAAGAGUAGCAUCAAUAUGAUCAAAGCACUGAAAACACUGUUGUUCAAAUCGAGUAAGGUACUUAGAGAUGUCAAAGUAUGAA
rnacentral:lncRNA from 1 species